rnacentral:lncRNA from 1 species
AAAUAUAUAUUGUAUUAGUUUCAUUUUCUAUAGUGAACCCCUUGAUGAAAAUAUAAAAUAAAGGUGUUGAAGAACAAUUUUGUGUAAUGUGUAUUUAAUAAGUUUGAUGCUCUUGAUACAAAUAAGGCCUAUGUUAUCUUAGCAUAUUGAUUGAAGUACAUCCCUUGAAUUAUGUAAUGUAUUACAUUUACUAUCCAAUUGAGUUUGUGUAAGUUAUAAAAUUGGCCUAGAGCAGAACUGAAUGACAUUCAUCGUAAUUAAAUUAAUUGUCUUGGUACAGUUUGGACUGUGGGUAAUUUAGUGUAUAUUAUUGAAAUUUUAGUAUGACGAAAAAAUCAUGAAAAGCUAAGACAUUCUCACAUGAAGAAACUAAAAACUCACUUUACAUGUACCUCGAUCGUAUCCCCCUGCUAGAAGGGAACCCCAACUCUCACAAACUUUUGUGCACUCGUACAGUACUUAGCUUUUCCUAAAGUUCCAGUCAUUGAAUGACAAAAGCUAAGGAAAAAAGUGUUUGCAAAGCUAGCUGGUCCUAAGAUGGCUUUGUUAUGUCUGGUCCCCUUGUUGUCUCUCUACACCCCCCUAAAUUGAACCCUAAAUGCAUAUCAACGCAACUUAAUUAGCACACGUAUAUAUCUAUCUAGCUAGCCAGCUAUAUAGAUUGCUCAUGCACAAAGGUACGAAACAUGCUGCUAUUGCAUUUGUUCAUUUUCUAGGUCGUGCUAGAUAUUCUAACCUAGUACUUUCUUCGUCCCCUAAUGUAAGACGUUUUUUUA